rnacentral:rRNA from 1 species
UACGGAGGCAGCAGUGGGGAAUAUUGCACAAUGGGCGAAAGCCUGAUGCAGCUAUGCCGCGUGUAUGAAGAAGGCCUUAGGGUUGUAAAGUACUUUCAUCGGGGAGGAAAAACAAAACUAAUAAUUUUAUUUCUUGACGUUACCCGAAAAAGAAGCACCGGCUAACUCCGUGCCAGCAGCCGCGGUAAUACGGAGGGUGCUAGCGUUAAUCAGAAUUACUGGGCGUAAAGAGCACGUAGGUGGUUUUUUAAGUCAGAUGUGAAAUCCCUGGGCUUAACCUAGGAACUGCAUUUUGAAACUGAAAUACUAGAGUAUCGUAGAGGGAGGUAGAAUUCUAGGUGUAGCGGUGAAAUGCGUAGAUAUCUGGAGGAAUACCUGUGGCGAAAGCGGCCUCCUAAACGAAUACUGACACUGAGGUGCGAAAGCGUGGGGAGCAAACAGGGAUUAGAUACC